CCCUACACCAAUUCAUGGCUCUUGCAAUCUCGCUAGGUAUUCUUAAUUCACAAACGUUUUAGGCUAGAGCUAGUUGGAAAUUUAGUGUAUUUCCUCAACAGCUUGAUAAGUAAAAGGGCAGGAAAAUUAAGUGUUUGUCAUCUCCAUAUGCCUUGUAUCUUAGUUCCAUGUCGAAUAGUUUCUCACUGUUUAUAUUAAAGAACACCACCCAAUGGUUUGUCCCUUUGAUGGAUGGGAUUCCUUUAACUAUGAUGCAUAUUGUGUGGAACUAGAAAAACAUAACUGAGAGGUUAACAUGAAAUCAUUAGUAUACAAAAAUUUAAAUUUCAAAUGGAUUUUUGUAUUAUUAAUGCACUUUUCAAGUGUUUCUUCUCAGAAAUUUGAGAGAAGGAGAAAACAAAAGAGGAGCAAUCUAAGGAGAUCCAAAUUUUGUUUUGGAGACAAGAAGGAAAGGAAGAAGCAGAUAAGCAAUAAAUAAGAAGAUGAAGAGGUAAUAUACAAUAUACUUUGGUUUGUUUUCUUAAGAUUUCACGGGAUGUGUCAAUGACACUAUCUAGAAGAUUCUCAUAUGCUCUUUUUGUUUUUAAUCCAAAACUGGUAAUCCUUGAUGACUUUGUGGAGUGAUUAAGUGCAUAUCAGCAGCGUGAGUUUUUAUUUGUUAUAAUCAUUCUACUGCUAUUUAACCAAAUCCUAUUAGCCAUAUAAUUUUAAUGAUUUUUGUACAAUGAAGUAUAGAAAGACAUACAAUUGUGCCAAUAAAAACAAAUCAGGCUGCAUUCAAUACCUGGUGUCAAUGAAUUACUAGAACCUUGUUUAUCUUCUUGUUUUUAUGCUUCCCCACAUGCACUUUUGCAUUCUCUCUAGUUGGAGAAUAUGUGCACCUCAGCAUGGUUUGUAAGCUUUUAAGGAAGAAUAGGACAAAACGAAUAUAGGUGUAUAUUUGCAAAUUCCAAUGCAAGCUUGAUAAGUAAGCUCUCAAAGUUAUUGUAUGUUAUCUUUAUCAUUUUUAUUUAAAAAUUGUAUGUACAUUUGAAAGCAUACUAUGCAUCUAUUUUACUGUUGAGGUUUAUAACUAUAUUUUGGUCUAAGUCUCAUGUGGCUAAUGUCUUGUAUUAGUGGUUCAAUAGUAAUUGAUGUUGUCUGGCUUAGCUCGUAGGAGUAUAUAAUAUGUGGGUUUAAGUUACAGUAAUAGAUAAUCUUGAUCAUUGAAGAUAAUUCUUUUUUAAAUUCUUUAAGUUAGAGAAUUGGUUUUCCACCAAACUUGAUUUAUUUUAUUGACAUUGCCAACAUACUUACAAAAAUCAUAUAAAAAAUGUUAAUAAAGAUUGAUCUUGUUGGUAAGAAUUUAAUGUAUUUUGUUGCUGAUGUGAAGUUUGUUUUGGUAGAAAAUUCUUGAGGUUUCUUUGACACUUGUGAUAUUUUUGAAUUUAACUUGUCUAAACUUUUUUCUCACAAAAGAAAAUCAUACCACGUGGCCUAUUAUAUUAGUUUAAAAAAAUAACAGUUUCUUCUCUUAUGUUCUCAAAUAACACAUCUGAAUUAGUCAAUUUAAACGUAUAUUUAAACAAAAAUAACACAUCCGGAUUGGUGAAUCCAGACAAACAUGGAAAAAUAAAUUUUAUUAAAAAUGGUCGGUAAAAGUAGGGCUGUGAAUGGUUGUUUUUUUUUUUUUUUAAACCAAAUCAUAUUGAUUUUAAAAUCAAUAUAUGGAUUUAGAUUUAUAACCAAAUCUAUUAUUUGGUUUAAAACCGGUUAUAAAAUCACUUGUAAAACUGGUUAUUGUUAAAUAACUGGUUUUUAAUUAAUCAAUCGAUUUUGAAAAAUUCAAUUUUAAAUUCGGUUUUUAUUUUUUUCCAAUUUUAUUUAUAAAAUAUUCCGAUAAAUUUUUUUUGAUAAAAAAUAAUUUAUAAUUAUUUUAAUUCAAGAAAAAAAUUUGAUUUUUUCGAUAAAUUAUUAAUUGAAAAUAACAAGAAUGAAGGAUAUGAGAAAGAGAGAGUAACUUGAACACAAAAUAGGACAGCUGCACAUUGAGAGAAAAAGAAGAAAAUUAUUUCUACCUAUCCACUAUAACAAAAGAUUAUUUCUACAUAUCCACUAUAACAAAAGAGCAAAAAAUUAAAGUUAUAAACACAAAUCCAAUAAAAAGGUAAUUAAAUCAAUCAUGUCAACAAUUCAAAUUAACUUAAAUUUUGAGAAAUAAUUUUCUAUUAUAUUUAAUCACUUAAAUAGGAACUUAGAAUACACAACGCAACAUAAUUAGAGUAAGAAGAUAGUAAAUAGUUAAUUAGUAACUUGAAAAAUAUGUACAGUUUUACAAAAGCAUACAUCACAUAACACAAUAAUAUAACGAGAAAAAAAAAACAUGAUAGUGAAAAUAAUUAAUACACAAUUGACACGACUGACAUUUGACUCAUAGUGAAUCGACACUCAACCCACUGGCAUGACUAGCAAUCAUGAGUGAGAUACCACACAAGAAAAAAGAUGGAAAAAAUGUAUUCCAUUCAUAAUAAGGCUCAAAAAACUCACAAACUUAUCACAAAUGAUACAUAAUUUAGCAUUUUAAUCCAAUUUAUUUUACCAAGAAUGAAUAGAUAAUAUCCAAUCAUGUCAGUUCAAACAAACUCUCAACAUUUACAACCAUAAAAUCAGAUGAAAAAAUACAUGCAGUGCAAUGUCCAUUUUUAUUAUUUUAUUUUAUUUUUAUGUUAUUUUUAUUUUAUUUUAUUUUUAUUUUACUUUUAUGUUUAUUUUGUUUUAUUUUGUUUUUUUGAAAUAUAACAAAUAAAAUCAUAAAACAAAUAAAAUCCUAAAUAAUACCACCACACUUAAAUUACACAUUGUCCUCAAUGAAAGUAACAAGUAUAAAAUAAAAGUAAGGAAAUGGAGCUCCUUGUUUAAACUUCAGUGUAGGUGGGCUUUUCCAAGGAGAGUUCUUCUAUGGUAGCAUCUUCAAGCACAGAGCUCUCAUGGAAUAGCUUGAGCCGUUGUCCAUUUACUUUGAACACUUUCUCGGUGUUUUCACUUUUUAUUUCCACUACACCAUGAGGAAAAUGUUAGUAACAACAAAAAGGCCAAUCCACUUCGAUUGAAGUUUCCCAGCCAUAAUUUUCAGACGGGAGUUGAACAAUAAAACUUUUUGGCAAAUGAAAAAUUCCUUCCUAGAAAUCAUCUUAUCAUGAAAGUACUUAGUUUUCUCCUUAUAGAUCUGAGAGUUCUCUAAGCUUCAAGUCUAAGCUCUUCAAAUUUUUGCAAUUGAACCAUUCUCUCCAAACCUACUUUCUCCAUCUCAAGGUUACAACUCUUGGCCUCCCAAUAAGCACGAUGCUCUAUUUCCAUUGCGAGGUGGCAUGCCUUACCUAACACAAGUCGAUAAGGGGACAUCCCUAUUGGUGUUUUGUAGGCUAUUCUAUGAGCCCAAAGAGCUUCUUCAAGUCGGUGGCUUCAGUCUUUCCCGUUUGGCUGCUCGAUCUUUUCUAAGAUCUAUUGAUUUCCCUGUUUGAGAUUUCAGCUUUCCCAUUAGUCUGGGGAUGAUAAGGUGUAGAAACUCUAUGCACAACCCAUACUUCCAAAGCAAAGCGUCCAUGGCGCGAUAGCAAAAAUGAAUGCCUUGAUCACUUAUGAAUUCCCGGGGUAUUCCAAACCUGCAAAAAAUAUUUGAUCUGAUAAAACCUGCAACAACUUUAGAAUCACUAGUCCUAGUGGGUAUUGCUUCUAUCCACUUCAAAACAUAAUCAACAACUAGUAAAAUAUAGACAAAACCAAAAGAUACAAAAAAAGGCCCAUAAAGUCAAUGCCCUACACAUCAAAUACUUCAUAGAAAAGCAUAGGUUGUUGAAGCAUUUCACUCCUACGAGUGAUUGUUGUUCCUGCUAUUUGGCACUGUUCACAAGUUUUGUAAGUCUCAAAAGUAUCUUUAAACAAAGUGGGCGAAAAGAAACCCGAGUCUAGGACUUUUCUUGCUGUCCGUUGAGGACCAAAAUGUCCUUCAGUUUGAGAGGCAUGACAAAAAUGAAGAAUGGAUUAAGCCUCAUGGUGAGAAACACAUCGCCUAAUCACCUGGUCACUACAGAAUUUCCAUAGAUAUGGAUCAUCCCACACAUAGUAUUUGACAUCACUUUUAAGUUUGUGUAUUUGUGUUCAGGAUGCAUCUACAGAAAAGACUCCGACAACUAGAUAAUUAACUAAAUCAGCAAACCAAGGAGUUACCUCACGCAACUGUAGCAGUUGCUCAUUAGGAAAGUCAUCUUGAAUUGGAAUGGGAUCCUCGUCCAUUUCUAUUCUGCUCAAAUGAUCUACCACCAAAUUUUCUGCUCCACUCUUAUCUUUAGUCUCUAAAUCAAAUUCUUGGAGUAACAACAUCCACCAGAUCAAUCUCGAUUUUACUUCUAGUUUCUUCAGCAAGAACUUCAAAAUUGCAUGGUUAGUAAAAUCAACCACCUUUGAACCUAACAAAUAUGAUCUAAACUUAUCAAGUGCAAAAACAAUAGCUAAAAGUUCCUUUUCAGUGGUAGUAUAAUUAGCAUGUGUAGAAUCUAAAGUCCUAGAAGCAUAAUAAAUAACAUGGGCAGCCUUGCCAACCCUUUGUGCAAGGACUGCUCCCACUACAUAGUUAGAUGCAUCACACAUAAUUUCAAAAGGGAGGAUCCAAUUUGGUGGCUGAAUUAUGGGAGUAGAGGUUAGUGCUGCCUUUAAGAAAUCAAACGCCUUCUUGCAUUUGUCAUCAAAGGUGAAACUGAUAUCUUUUUGCAGCAAAUUUGACAAUGGAAGGGCUAUCUUAUUGAAAUCCUUGAUAAAGCGCCGAUAAAAACCUGCAUGGCAAAUAAAAAAAAUUAAUCUCGCAGAUGCAAGAUGGGUAAGGCAAAUUAGAAAUGACAUCAAUCUUGGUAGGAUCCACUUCUAUCCCAUUUUUAGAGAUCACAUGUCUCAAAACUAUGCCUUGUUCAACCAUAAAAUGAUAUUUUUCAUAAUUCAGCACAAGGUUAGUUUCAUUACAUCUAUGCAAAUCUCUAUCUAAAUUGUUCAAGCAUGCAUCAAAUGAGGAACCAUACACAUUAAAAUCAUCCAUGAAAACUUCAAUACAAUUUUCUAUCAAGUUAGAGAAAAUAUUAACCAUGCAGCGUUGGAAAGUGCCAAAAGCAUUGCAUAGGCUAACGAGCAUCAUCCUAUAUGAAAAUGUGCCUAAAGGGCAAGUGAACGUGGUAUUUUCUUGGUCCUCUAGUGCAACAUAGAUAUGAAAAUAACCAAAAAAAUCAUCAAGACAACAAUAAUGUGACUUACCAGCCAACCGUUCAAGCAUCUAAUCAAUGAAUGGUAAAGGAAAAUGAUCUUUUGUAGUUGCCUAGUUUAGUCCUCUGUAAUCAAUGCAUACCCUCCAGUUGUUCUGCACUCGUGUGGGGAUAAGUUCAUUAUUUUCAUUUUUAACCAUCGUGAGUCCAACUUUCUUAGGGACUACCUGCACCAGACUCACGCAUUAACUAUCAGAGAUGGGGUAUAUAAUGCCUGCUUGCAAGAGCUUGAUCACUUCCUUUUUUUGCAACAUCCAAAAUUAAUGGGUUAAGUCUCCUUUGGGGCUGCCUGACUGAUUUUACCCCAUCCUCCAGUAGUAUCCUAUGCAUACACAUGGAUGGGCUAAUACCAGGAAUAUCAGCCAAGGUCCACCCGAUUGCCUUCCUGUGUUUUCUCAAAAUCUGCAACAACUUCUCUUCUUGUUCAUCUUCAAUUUUGGCUGAAAUAAUCACAAGUAACUUGCUACUUCCUUCUAAAUAUGCAUAUUUCAAAUUUUCAGGAAGUGGUUUAAGCUCUAUUGUCGGUGGCUGUUCAAUGGAGGGAACAACACCAGUGGCCGAAGCUAAGUUUGCAAAAUCAAUUUUGUUAGUAGAAAUAUCAAUAUUAGCACAAUGAUCAACUUGUAAGGCAACUUCAAUCUCAGCACACACAUAUCACAAUUGAGUAUCUGUACAUAAUUCACAAGUAUAAGUAUCAUCAAAACCAGAAAAUGAAGGAAAAUCAGUAGCAAACAUAUCGGGGUAAAGUUUACAAAGAUGUUAAAUUUUACAAUGCUAUCACCAAAUUGAAUUAUAACACCUGUUGUGGUGAAACUGAAUGAUAACAAGUAUAUCCUCCACAAGUCCAGUAGGACGAGCAUCGCUUAUGUUCGCCAAUUGAAUGGUAACACCUGUACUCUGUAAAGCUCUAAGAGCAAGAGAGUUAAAAAUAGAUGUAGGCAUAACAUUAAUGGAAGCUCCUAAAUCUAACAUAGCAUUUUCAAAUUGACUAUUGCCUAUGGUACAUGGAAUGGAAAAAGUUCCUGGAUCUUUGCAUUUCUGGUGCAUGGGAUGAAUGAGGGCUGAAACAUUUCGCCCCAUGUUUACCCUUUCAUUACCUUUUAACCUUCUCUUGUGUGUGCAUAAAUCUUUUAGAAAUUUUGCAUAUCUUGGAAUUUUUUUAAUUGCUUCAAGGAGGGGAAUGUUCACUUCCACCUUCCUAAAUGUAUCCAAGAUCUCCUUGUCCUUAUCUGUCUCGUCCAUUUUCUUAGUCUUCACUGCCCUUUGAGGAAAAGGAAGUGGAAUAUUUUGCUCAACAUCAACAGUUUCAGGUAUAAAAGUGUCCUCAACAACCUUGUUAUUUUUCACUGUAGUUUUAGGUACCUUUGGUAUUUCAACAGCUUUCCCAUACCUCAAUGUAAUUGCACUGACAUUGGGAGCAUUUGGAUUUACCAUUGGCUGUGCAGACAAUUUAUUUGACCCCUAAGUCUGCAAUUGAUUAAUUGAAGUGGCUAGCUGACCAAUCUUUGUUUCCAAAUUUUGAAUGGUGGAAUCUGUUCUUUGUUGAAAUUGGAGAUUUUGGACAGCCAUCUGCUUAAUGAGGUCCUCUAAUGAAGGUGCAUUGUUUUGCUGUUGUGGAACGUUUUGUUGUUGUUGUUGCUGCUGCCUAGGUUGUUGUUGUGCAGAUGAAUUCCUCCUUCUCAGGUUGGGGAUGGUUUCUUCAACCAAGAUUGUACCUAUUAGAUGACAUAUCAUAGUUGGCUUGUGGAUUGCACAUAUUUGCUACAUAUGCUUUAGGAGCAUCCGCAAUUGGAUCUUCUUGCAAUGUAGGACAUGAAUCUGAAGGAUGCUUUGGAGAAGUGCAAAUACCACAGACCACUGCUUGGGUUUUACCUAUUGUCAAUUUUUUUACUAAAGAUGUAAGCUCAUCAAGUCUGCCUUCUAAAUUCUUGUGGGAAGAAGCUUGAAUUUCAUUCACACUCCUUGUCAACACUUUUGAAUGGCUUCUAGUUGUAAACUUCUGAGAAUUAAUGGAUAUGUUCUGAAUCAAAGCCUUUGUCGCUUCUGGGGUCUUAUCGACAAGUGCUUUCCCACUAGCAUCAUCCAAAAUGCUUUUAUCCAUAGGUAGCAAGCCUUCAUAAAAAUAAUGGAUGAGCAAUUGUUCAGAAAUCUGGUGAUGAGGACAACUAGACACUAAUUUCUUGAAUCUCUCCCAAUACUCAUGUAAUGAUUCCCUGUCAAUAUGCCUGAUGCCACAUAUUUCUUUUCUGAUUGAAGCAGCUCGUGAGGCAGGGAAGAAUUUUUCUAGAAACAAUAUCUUGAGAUCAUUCCAACUUAUAACAGAACCUGGUUGAAGGUAGUAUAACCAGUCCUUGGCAGCAUCUUGGAAUGAAAAUGGGAAGGCUCUCAGCUUAAUGUGAUCUUCUGUGACUCCUUGAGGCUUCAUCAUAGAACACACAACAUGGAAUUCUUUCAAGUCUUUGUGGGGAUCCUCACCUGCAAGACCAUUAAACUUUGGAAACAAGUGUAUUAAACCAGAUUUAAGUUCAAAUGGUACAGUAACUUCAGGAUAUGUGAUACACAAUGUGUAAGACCCUUAGUUUUAGAUUCUAAUUUACGUAUUUUGAUAUAUUUUUGUGUUUAAUUGUUGUGACGUUUAACUCAAUUUUACUUUAUUUUGGGAAUUAAGUACCAAAAAUAUAUUUUGUUAGAGUUUGUAAUAUGUUUAAUAUAUGGGUAUAUUUAUUUAUAUAUUUUGAGAUCCGCUUAAAAUUAUUUGUCGAAGAAUAAUUUGUUUACGUUACGAAAAAUUUAAUACCGGACAGUUUUGUUAAAAAUAUCACUCGUUGCUGAAAAUUUAUCUGUCAAUUUGAGUUGUGCAAGAGUAGAUAGUUUUAUCAAAAUAGUUGAGUAAAGUGAUCUGGUGUAAGAGUAUUUAAAUAUUUAUUGGUUUAGUUUUAAUUAUAAUAUAUAUAUAUUAUAAGUAACAUAUAUAUUGUUAGUAGUAAGUUAUAUAUAUGAAAACGUGAGAAAAGGAACAAAGGAAGAAAGCCAAAACGUUUCCUCCUGCCUCAGGAGAAAAUUUGUCUCCCUCGUUCUUCCUUCUUUUUCUUUUGCUUUCUUUUUCUUCAAGAAAAGAAACCCAAGUCUUGGUGGGUGAAAAAGAAAAGAUGUCCUAGCUUCCAUUUUCUUCUCUGAUUCAAAAACGAAGAAAAACGAUGUUAGGGGUUUUCAAAACCGUCAAACACAAAUCCUCAUUUUUCUUCGACAUUUGAGCUUCGUUUCGAGAAGUGAUAGAAGGGAAAGUUGUCUAUCUCCACGCUAUGGUGCUAGUGAGCCAACUUUGGAAGCGACGAUGCAAGCGAAGUUUUUACCGAAAUUAAUCGCAGUGUCGUAAUCGCUUGUUAAAGCUACUGUUAAGGUAAUGGCUCCUUCCAAAUUUUUAGGUUGCACAUAGGAUGCUAUAUGUGUAUUUGUAGAGUUGGAAUUUGGUGAAAUUGAUGGGUGAUUUUGUGGAAAAGGAAUUUAAUUCAUUUAUGUGUGUUUUGAGGAAAUUAAAAAUUGAUGUGUUUGAAGUGUGGUUUUGUGAAAAUUAAUUUUGCGUGACUUAUAUUUGAAAAUGUGGAAAUUUAUGGGUGAUUGAUGAUUGAACUUGUUGUGGAUUUUGUGGAAUUUGAAUUGAUUGAAUUUAAUUUAAAUUGUGGAUUAAAUUUGAUGUGUGGUGGUGGAAAAUAUAUGUUUGAGUAUGCUUUGUGUUGAAUUUGAAAAUCAUUAGUGUUAAAUGAGUAUUAAAAACGGGGAAUCUUUUAAUAUUUGUAUUUACUUAAUGAUUGUUGUGGAAAGAGUCAGAAGAUGCUCAUGCAUUUCAUAGUACAUAGUGACCGCGAUGGGGCCAUGGUGAUAGUGGUGACUAUGAUGGGCCACGAGAUGAUGCCAUGUAAUCUGUUGGUUCAUCUUAUCCUUGCGGAGAUUUUCGCUUCGUGUAGGUCCGUGAUAGACUGCACAUUUUUAGUAAAUCGUGUUGACCCCUGAUAGGUGGCACAUCGGUAAAUAGUACUGGUCUGUGAUAUGCGGUACAUUUACGAUUUACGUUUUUUAGUAAAUCGUGCUGACCUGUGAUAGGUGACAUCUUGUUAAUUAGUAUUGGUCUGUGAUAGGCGGUACCAUUAUGAUUUACACUCCUUCGAGGAGGGCUUUGGUUUGAAUUCUGGAAUCAUGCAUUUUGACAUAUACGCAUUGCAUUAGGGUGUUUGGCACACGAGUCAUGUUUAUUAUACGAUGAUGGUUGUAUAAACAUACUUGGUUGUUGUUUGUGAUUGUGUCGUAAUUGAUGCGUGUGAAUGAUUGACUUUGUUUGUUAAGUGUUGAAUGAUUUCGAAACGUUUUCGAGAAUGAAAUCUGCAAAUUUUAGCAGUUGUAUUCGGCUACAAGCAGUGUGUAGUCGGAUACAUAUGUAAAACGUUCAGUUUUUAGUGAAAUUUUAGCCUUGUAUUUGAAUACAAGAUGUUGUAUUCGAAUACAUAUAUUCAAUUUUUUCCACUGACUUAGCACUUGUAUUCGGCUACGCCAUGUGGUAGUCGAAUACAGUUGUGCAAGAUUUUUCACUAUUUUCGCACUUGUAUUCGACUACAAGGAUGUUGUAGUCGAAUACAGUUGUGUUGUUUUUGCUACUGACUUACAAAAUAGCACUGUAUUUGAAUACAAAGAUGUUGUAUUCGAAUACAGUUGUGCUGAUUUUGCUACUGACUUGUGAAUUAGCACUGUAUUCGAAUACAAGGAUGGUGUAUUCGAAUACGACAGUGCAGUUUUGUCAAAAACUUCAUUUUUCAACUUGUUUAUGCAUGUUUGACAUAUGAAAACCCUUUCAAGGAGUAUGCUAAGAUGAAAGGUUAUUUUGUGCAUCUCAAAUUUAAAUGCUAAGUGAUAUUUGUUAAUUUCGGUUGGUGACCUUUACAAUUAUUGUGGAAAUCUGGGUUUUGCCCUCAAGUGAGAACCAGGAUCAUCCUACCAGUUAGUACCCUGGAGAUGGGAAGGUAGUUAGAUAUACCUGACCGAAGCUGUGUUAGGAGGAUUUUGUGGGGAGCGUGGAGAUCACUAGGGUUGUAUAGUUUUUUGUAGCAUGAUCAAAUUAGAUGGUUGUAUAGGGGUUAGAUGUCUUUCUUUUGUGGAAGUAUUUAUUUCAAUUUGGAAGAAUGUACCUAUACCUCAUAUUGUCAUCUUGACUUUUAUUUUGAUGGGUCCUUGUACCACUUCUGAUGUGGCAUGAGGAAUGUAAAAUUCUUGGGGCAGUACUUUUGUACGCGUGUAUGCCGAGAAUACCCCAGGGGUAUGAGCUAUGUCUGAUAGGUCUUAUAGUCCCAGUGUAUUUUUGCUGUUUAAAUACUUUGAAUUUUUGUUUCAAAAACUAUUUCCGCUGCUGGUAAAUAUUGUUGACUUUUGUCGUUGUGUUACGACUUAAAUAUUUAUCCAAAAAUAUUUCUUUCUUAAUAUCUAAUAUUUGAAUUUCGAUUUUUGUUUUUUUUUUAAAAAAAAAUGGGUUGUUAUACAAUGUAUUAUAAUUGACAUCAGGUGCAACAAGUUGUCUUAAGGUUCUAUUAUUCGCAUCAACCAUAUAUUGUAGCAAGUUUUCAAUUUCAGUAUCUGACUCUGACUCGUUAACACUAAUAGCUCUAUUAAGUAUACGACGUAAAUGAAAUGUCCUAUCUAUUCUAGGUUUAAGAGAAUGCAAAUUUGCAGAACUAUCCCUUGUCAUGCAUCAUCAUAACAAUGCAAUGCAAAAUCACAAUUCUGAAAAUUUUAACAAUGUCCCUAUUUCUAAAUUGAAGUGAAAAUUAAAAAACCUUAUCAAAUAAAAUCCAAAAAAAUAUAAAAAUUCCACCAAAAUUUUCUAAAAAUCAACUAACGACAACGCAAAUUUUUCUGGAAUUUUUGGAGAAUAAGAAAUAUUGAAAAAAUUGAAAAAAGGAUCUAAACGAAGGAAUUUGAGA
rnacentral:lncRNA from 1 species